rnacentral:lncRNA from 11 species
GGUCUCAGGUUUUGGCCCUGAAAUCUCAGAGCCUGGGAUACCCCUGACCUGGCAACCGUAUGCGAUGCAUGGUUACCUACAGGAUAACCUUCUCCUGUACAAUCC